GGAUUGUAGGCUGAAACUCGCCUACAUGAAGCUGGAGUUACUAGUAAUCGCAGAUCAGAAUGCUGCGGUGAAUGCGUUCCCGGGUCUUGUACACACCGCCCGUCACACCACGGAAGUUGGGGGCGCCCGAAGCCACUUAGCUAACCCUUUUGGGAAGCGAGUGUCGAAGGUGAAAUCAAUAACUGGGGUGAAGUCGUAACAAGGUACC
rnacentral:rRNA from 1 species